rnacentral:rRNA from 1 species
GAAAGGCUCAUUAAAUCAGUUAUGGUUCCUUAGGUCGUACCCACAAUUACUUGGAUAACUGUGGUAAUUCUAGAGCUAAUACAUGCAAACAGAGCUCCGACCGGAGACGGAAGGAGUGCUUUUAUUAGAUCAAAACCAAUCGGUGGCGGGUUCGCUCGUCAUCGUACAACUUGGUGACUCUGAAUAACUUUACGCUGAUCGCACGGUCAUCGCACCGGCGACGCAUCUUUCAAAUGUCUGCCUUAUCAACUGUCGAUGGUAGGUUCUGCGCCUACCAUGGUUGUAACGGGUAACGGGGAAUCAGGGUUCGAUUCCGGAGAGGGAGCCUGAGAAACGGCUACCACAUCCAAGGAAGGCAGCAGGCGCGCAAAUUACCCACUCCCGGCACGGGGAGGUAGUGACGAAAAAUAACGAUACGGGACUCAUCCGAGGCCCCGUAAUCGGAAUGAGUACACUCUAAACCCAUUAACGAGGAUCAAUUGGAGGGCAAGUCUGGUGCCAGCAGCCGCGG